CCUUUGUACACACCGCCCGUCGCUACUACCGAUUGAAUGGCUUAGUGAGGCUUUCGGAUUGGAUCUGAGCAGCUGGCAACAGCAGCUUGGAACUGAAAAGUUAUCCAAACUUGGUCAUUUAGAGG
rnacentral:rRNA from 1 species